CACAGUCGCUCAGUUGUCUCUCUGUCUCAGUCGCGCUCAUCUCUCUCUCAACGGCGUAGGGCAACAGAGGCGAUGGCAUGCAGCGGCAGCAUCUCUCUCAGUCGCGCAUCUCUCUUAGUCACUCAUCUCUCUCAAUGGCAUCUCUUUCUUUCUCUCUCGCGCACUCACUCAGUCUCAAUCGCCUCUCUCUCACUCACUCAGCGGCGUAGAGCAGCGAGGUGGCAUAGAGCAACUGUGAAUAGCGGCAGUGAGUAGGGGCGGUGAUAGCAGCGUCCCACUCCAUCAUCAUCUUCUCCAAGUCCUACUGCCCUUUUGGUGCAAUGAAGAACCAAAGAUUAGCUCAUUCAACAGUGAUUUUGAUCUGCUCCAUAAACAGCUGUUUUGUUGCUAGAGCGCUGCUACUGUUGGAGGGCUUGAUUUCAAGAUUUAGCAUAGUUAAAUGGAGGAUUAAGGAAUUAUUAGAUUAUUAUAUUUAACAUAAUUAAAUGGAGGUUUUAUAAAUUAUUAGAAAUACUGCAAAUUGGGUUCUUCUUGCCUAAUUGAAUAAUAUUCACCUCUUUCCUGAAUAAUCAAUGGGGUUUUACCUUACUAAUGAACAUGCUCAUGUAACAUAUCAUGCUAUGCUGCAGUAUGUCAAGCGCUUUAGCCGCUACAAGAAUCCAGAUUCUGUCAGACAAGCUCGACAGUAUCCUUUAAUUAUAUGACAAUAUUGCAACUUUAUUUCUGUUUUCUGAAUUGUAACAGACAUGUACAUGAGCACCUCCAUUUUUUUACUUUUCCUUUUCUUUAUGGUAUAGUAAUUUGCUCAAAGAUUGGAUUAGAUUGCUACAAUUAAUAUUGUUGGUAUAAAGAGACAGAAGCUUAACCAUUCUUCUCCAUCCUGAAUCUUGUAAAAACCCUUUUCCUAUCAUAAUCGCAUGUCCUUUAUAAUUGAUGCUUGGAACUUUAGCAAGAAUGCAUAAUGCAUGUAAAAGCCUAAUCCAGCAAAACAAGAGGAGAAAGCAGGGGUGAGGGGGACUGAACUUGAAUAGUUCAAUUUAUGUAUAUAAUUGACUCACUCACAUGUUCAUGACUGGUAGUUUUAUGAAUGAGUCUUUCUUCGAAGUGAAAGUUGAUACCAACAUAUACAUACCCUUGUAUCCUUGUAGAUCAUAUGAUGUGC